rnacentral:rRNA from 1 species
GACGAACGCUGGCGGCGUGCUUAACACAUGCAAGUGGAGCGACGAACCAGGGCUUGCCCUGGGGCAGAGCCGCGAACGGGUGAGUAACACGUGGGUUACCUGCCCCGAUGACCGGGACAACCCGAGGAAACUCGGGCUAAUACCGGAUGUGGUCUUCGGACGAAAGGAAGCUUCGGGCCUCCGCAUCGGGAUGGGCCCGCGGCGCAUUAGCUUGUUGGUGGGGUGAUGGCCUACCAAGGCGACGACGGGUAGCCGGCCUGAGAGGGCGACCGGCCACACUGGGACUGAGACACGGCCCAGACUCCUACGGGAGGCAGCAGUGGGAAUCUUGCGCAAUGGGCGAAAGCCUGACGCAGCGACGCCGCGUGAGGGAUGACGGCCUCGG